GACGAACGCUGGCGGCGUGCUUAACACAUGCAAGUCGAACGAAGAGCGAUGGAAGCUUGCUUCUAUCAAUCUUAGUGGCGAACGGGUGAGUAACGCGUAAUCAACCUGCCCUUCAGAGGGGGACAACAGUUGGAAACGACUGCUAAUACCGCAUACGAUCUAAUCUCGGCAUCGAGGAUAGAUGAAAGGUGGCCUCUACAUGUAAGCUAUCACUGAAGGAGGGGAUUGCGUCUGAUUAGCUAGUUGGAGGGGUAACGGCCCACCAAGGCGAUGAUCAGUAGCCGGUCUGAGAGGAGGAACGGCCACAGUGGGACUGAGACACGGCCCAGACUCCUACGGGAGGCAGCAGUGGGGAAUCUUCCGCAAUGGACGAAAGUCUGACGGAGCAACGCCGCGUGAGUGAUGACGGCCUUCGGGUUGUAAAGCUCUGUUAAUCGGGACGAAAGGCCUUCUUGCGAAUAGUGAGAAGGAUUGACGGUACCGGAAUAGAAAGCCACGGCUAACUACGUG
rnacentral:rRNA from 1 species